rnacentral:rRNA from 1 species
AAAUUGAAGAGUUUGAUCAUGGCUCAGAUUGAACGCUGGCGGCAGGCCUAACACAUGCAAGUCGAACGGUAACAGGAAGCAGCUUGCUGCUUCGCUGACAAGUGGCGGACGGGUGAGUAAUGUCUGGGAAACUGCCUGAUGGAGGGGGAUAACUACUGGAAACGGUGGCUAAUACCGCAUGACGUCGCAAGACCAAAGAGGGGGACCUUC